CUGAAGGAAACGUCACUCUGAACAUCGUCGCAGUUUGAAUCAUCAACAAUGAAGACCGUAGCUGUUGCACUCUGUUUGGUUCUGCUUGUGGCGAUGGUCUCAGCCACAUUCUACCAACCCUCAUACCAAUACGGAAGGGGAUAUGGAGGAUACGGGGGAAAUAACGUAGAUAACAACCAAAACUUCAGACAGUAUGCCACCAUCAAUCAACAACAGUUCAACAGGCAAAACGUUGACCAAGAUAUCUAUAAUCGCGGCGGCUACCCCUUCUAUGGCGGAAAGGGCUAUAGUGGAUAUUAAGAUGGUUCAUGCACAUUGUCCAUAAGGCAGGACUCCAACUCUUGCGCAUAUGACAUGUAUGAGGUGAAUUAAUAAAUCUUUGCAUGUUUUUGAAA